rnacentral:rRNA from 1 species
UGUUGCCUACGGGGGGCAGCAGUAGGGAAUUUUUCACAAUGGGCGAAAGCCUGAUGGAGCAAUGCCGCGUGAAUGAUGAAGGUCUUAUAGGUUGUAAAAUUCUUUUAUUUGGGAAGAAAAACUAAAGUAGGAAAUGACUUUAGUCUGACUGUACCAUUUGAAUAAGUAUCGGCUAACUAUGUGCCAGCAGCCGCGGUAAUACAUAGGAUGCAAGCGUUAUCCGGAUUUACUGGGCGUAAAACGAGCGCAGGCGGGUUAACACGUUUGGUAUGAAAGUCUUUUUCUUAACGAAAGUUUGUAUCAAA